rnacentral:rRNA from 1 species
GAUGAACGCUGGCGGCGUGCCUAAUACAUGCAAGUCGAGCGAACGGACGAGAAGCUUGCUUCUCUGAUGUUAGCGGCGGACGGGUGAGUAACACGUGGAUAACCUACCUAUAAGACUGGGAUAACUUCGGGAAACCGGAGCUAAUACCGGAUGAUAUUUUGAACCGCAUGGUUCAAAAGUGAAAGACGGUCUUGCUGUCACUUAUAGAUGGAUCCGCGCUGCAUUAGCUAGUUGGUAAGGUAACGGCUUACCAAGGCAACGAUGCAUAGCCGACCUGAGAGGGUGAUCGGCCACACUGGAACUGAGACACGGUCCAGACUCCUACGGGAGGCAGCAGUAGGGAAUCUUCCGCAAUGGGCGAAAGCCUGACGGAGCAACGCCGCGUGAGUGAUGAAGGUCUUCGGAUCGUAAAACUCUGUUAUUAGGGAAGAACAUAUGUGUAAGUAACUGUGCACAGCUUGACGGUACCUAAUCAGAAAGCCACGGCUAACUACGUG